rnacentral:lncRNA from 1 species
AACCAAUGGGUGAAAACGAGUCAGGCAGGCCUGGAUCUGAAACACAUAAAGCCUAAUAAUUGCAAUCCAAAGCUCUGGUUUGGAUCCCAAACUCAGGCCGAAAUCCUUACACCUAGCCAAAUACGUGUCUGGCUUAAUCCAAAUUGGUUCUAUCCAAUUAAUCGCCAUUCAAAAAAAUACAUAUUCAAAACAUCACAGGUACUAGCCA